UACGAAGGGGGCUAGCGUUGCUCGGAAUCACUGGGCGUAAAGCGCACGUAGGCGGCUUUCUAAGUCAGGGGUGAAAUCCUGGAGCUCAACUCCAGAACUGCCUUUGAUACUGGGAAGCUCGAGUCCGGAAGAGGUGAGUGGAACUGCGAGUGUAGAGGUGAAAUUCGUAGAUAUUCGCAAGAACACCAGUGGCGAAGGCGGCUUACUGGUCCGGAACUGACGCUGAGGUGCGAAAGCGUGGGGAGCAAACAGG
rnacentral:rRNA from 1 species